rnacentral:rRNA from 1 species
GAGACAGCAGUCAGCCGCGGGAAUACAGAGGGUGCGAGCGUUAAUCGGAUUUACUGGGCGUAAAGCGUGCGUAGGCGGCUUCUUAAGUCGGAUGUGAAAUCCCUGAGCUUAACUUAGGAAUUGCAUUCGAUACUGGGAAGCUAGAGUAUGGGAGAGGAUGGUAGAAUUCCAGGUGUAGCGGUGAAAUGCGUAGAGAUCUGGAGGAAUACCGAUGGCGAAGGCAGCCAUCUGGCCUAAUACUGACGCUGAGGUACGAAAGCAUGGGGAGCAAACAGGAUUAGAUACCCCAGUAGUCCCUGUCUCUUAUA